GUUGUGAAGAAAUAUUGUUCUCCUGUUUGGUGAUUGUAGAUCACACUGGAUACUCAAUUGAUUUUGAAUGGGUUUUAUUGUUACCGUUCCUCUACUUCAACUGUGAUAGUUCUUUUAGUCGAGGGUUUGUUUUGGAUUAAUAAUGGUGUUUCAAAACUUGUUAAACAUUGAACGCAUAAUAGGACUUAAAAUAGAUGCAAUGAGACACUGCAACCUACAACAAGGAUAUUUCAAUUUUGGCAUGUCAGGUAAUGACACCAUGCCAAAAAAAACCCAAAAUCCAUGUCAGUUUUCCUGUACAUGGCCUCAAAUUGAAAUUUCGAGUCAUUUGCCUUGUGACAUAUGCCCACAGUCUUAACAAUGAAGUACUAGUGUUUCAUAAUAAUCUGUUGAGGGGAUCUGGAGUGAAAAUCUUAAAUUUGAACUGUAAUUUGUCUUUCUUAGGAUAACCAUAGGCAUGGCAGUAUUCCAAGAUUGUAUUUUACUUUCUUUUUUUUUUUUCCCUGAGGAUGGAGAUUCCUGCUUCUAUGACUAUCUGUUAUUAGAGUUCACUUGUUAUCUGGAUUCAGAAUUCACUCAUUAUAUUUUGGCUAGUAACUGAGAAAGCAGUUAUUCUCAUCAUGCAUUAUUAUGUCCCUUGGGGUUUAUUACAAAAAGUUUCAAUGGUAUCUGUUAUCAGAAUUCACUUGUCUAGGCUGAUAGAGUGCUACUUUGCUUGAAAAAAAAUAAAAUAAAAUUAUUUCCAAGCUUUGAUUUCUCCUCAUCUACUAUAUGUCAUAUUUGUUGUUACCUUGCUUUAGUGAAGUGGACUCCCUGCAACCUAAUUGCAUGGGAAAAACCCCAUUGGAGCUACUAUAGAAUCCUUGCUAUUGCAUAUAGCAGUUAUAUUUUCUUAGAACUCCACGAAUUCCUGGUUUUGAACAACUUAAUUCAACUAAUGGUUCUCACCAGAGGAAGGCUCAAAAUGGUGCCAGGAAUAGAAUGGACAGCAUUCAGCAACCUGGCAGUAGCAUUGAAUCAAUUUAUCUCGAAUGAGCUCUAGUGUAAAGUUGCAAGUUGCAAUGGCAAAGCGACAUGAGAAGGCAGAUGGAACCUUAUCUGUAUGGAACUGACAUAUACCAUGAGCUAACUUGAAGCUAACUCGACCACACACCGAUGGGAACAGACGCAACGGAUGCCUGAGGCUUGAGUUUGGUAUGUAGUGUUAGUAGUGUUUUAACAUAGGGAAUCAAUAUUUUUACACAUCUUUAACACCGUUGUCCUUGUAAAAAAAAAAGGGUUUUCAAAGUAAAUGCUUUCGCUGUUUCAGGAAUAAGAUGUCUCUACUACUAUAUCUAGAGCCAAAUCUUUUUGAAGAUGGAAAUGGCCUGCUGAUUCUAGACAUGCACCAUUCAAAUUCUUUUCUUCUAGACAUUUUCCCGAUGAGUCUAGAAUGUUGGAAGCAGCUAUUUUGUAGUGUUGGUCAUAUUAUCAUACCCAAGCAUUUGCCUUAUGAGCUUCCUCUUCCUUCCUCCCAAGAAAAUGGAUCUCCAUUAAGCCGAAGGAGACCUGGGAAAAAAAAAAGGGAGAAAAGGCCCCCUAAUUUGGAGAGGAUGGAUUUGUAGUGUUUUUUUUCCCUCUCUUUUCUGCCUUGCAAACAAAGAAAUAUAAACAAUGGCAACUACCCAUAGGUGGAGACCCAAUCAAGCCUUGGGAGGAAAGAAAAGAAAAAACAAAGAUGGUUAUGGUGUGGAAAUGGCAUACUAUUUACGCGUUGGCUUUUGGCGGCGUUACCAACUUUGGCAUAGACGGCCGAUCACAAAUUGACUAUGUGGAAUGACCAACUACAUUCGCUUUCCAAUUAUUGUGAUAGUUCCUUGAACUUGGCCCGGUUAUUUUGUACAGCCCAAUUGUGUAAUAAUGGGCUUAGUUUUCAGGGCUUCUGGAUUCUGGGCAUUGUAAACUCAAGCCACUCACAUGCCUAAUGAUUUUUCAUAGCUGGAAUAUUGUUUGUUCUAUCAUAUGGGCCAUGGGCCAUGGGCCAUCUUUUUGCCAUGGCCAACUU